AACGAACGCUGGCGGCAGGCUUAACACAUGCAAGUCGAGCGCCCCGCAAGGGGAGCGGCAGACGGGUGAGUAACGCGUGGGAAUCUACCCAUCUCUACGGAACAACUCCGGGAAACUGGAGCUAAUACCGUAUACGUCCUUCGGGAGAAAGAUUUAUCGGAGAUGGAUGAGCCCGCGUUGGAUUAGCUAGUUGGUGGGGUAAUGGCCUACCAAGGCGACGAUCCAUAGCUGGUCUGAGAGGAUGAUCAGCCACACUGGGACUGAGACACGGCCCAGACUCCUACGGGAGGCAGCAGUGGGGAAUAUUGGACAAUGGGCGAAAGCCUGAUCCAGCCAUGCCGCGUGAGUGAUGAAGGCCCUAGGGUUGUAAAGCUCUUUCACCGGUGAAGAUAAUGACGGUAACCGGAGAAGAAGCCCCGGCUAACUUCGUGCCAGCCGCCGCGGUAACAC
rnacentral:rRNA from 1 species